AAUUCGAAAAAAAAAAUUGGUGAAUGAAAAUUGCACUAAAUGGGUGUGUGCAUGGUGCUGAAGAGAUACAGAGGCAGGAUAAAGAGUGUAUCUAACAGCGCUGAGCUCUGAUUUGAAGCAAUGGAGAAAGUAGACGAAACCGAAGAAGCAUCGCAAGAUCACCAGAAGUGGAUAACUGCAGAAAACAUUCUGAGGGAAAAGUUGAUAACUGAGGAGAGUUUGGGAUGGGAAUUACCGAGCAAAAGCACAAGCACAAUAACAGGUUCAGGAUUGAGAUACGUUGGUGGGGUUGACAUAAGCUUCUCAAAAAAUGACCCAUCAAAGGCAUGUGGUGGCCUUGUAGUGUUGGACUUUCACACUCUGCAAGUUCUCUAUCAUGAUUUCUCUUUCCUCACUCUUCAACUCCCUUAUGUCCCUGGCUUCCUUGCUUUUAGAGAGGUUUCUUUUUUUUCCAUUUCAUAUUUAUUUUUUUGGGAGAAUAUGACACUGUUAUAUAUAGAAUUAUAAAAUACAAAUAAUUAAGGAGGAUCUACAAUUUAAUAAUUUGUCUAUAGACAUGAUUUAUGAUGGAAUGUUAUACUGUUGUUUGAUGGACCCGGAUUCAGUGCAGUCGAAUGUAAAGUAUUUGUGCUUUGCAAUUUGUACAAAUUAUGUAUGAUUCAAAAUGCAAUGUACUGGUACUUUACAAUUACCGCACCAACAGCACCAUUUUUUGACUGAAUCUGAAUUCGUUGCUCAAUUCAUGUAGUUGACCCUACCUAGUGUUAGGCUGUUGUUGUUUCUAAAAUGUUUGUUUCGGCUAUUAUAUUUAUUGCCCCUAUAAUUUUAGGCACCGGUUCUUCUACAGCUUCUAGAGAAAAUGAAAAGGAGUGAUAAUCCUUUCUACCCUCAGGUAAAUGUUGUAUUUUAAGUUUUUAACAUAAGAAAAUUCAUGUGAAUUUGAUGCCUUUGAAACUUGCUCCUUUUUUCUUUAUUUGGUACUUUCAUUGCUGAUGCCAAUCUUGUUAGCUGCACUAAAAACUCAGAUAUGCAGAAUUCUAACGGAUUGAUAACUAUUUUGGAUUUGUUUUAACAAAUUCUGAUGUUUUCGUACCUAAGUUUCACCAUCUGAAUAGAAGGUUGGUUUGAUGUUUGUUGACAGUUGUUAAUGGUUGAUGGAAAUGGAAUACUUCAUCCCCGAGGCAAGCACUUUAUACACAAACAUUUUGUAUCCCUCUUAAAUAGUCAUUCACCAUUUUUUUCUCCUCUCAACAGUCGUACAUUUGAACUUUGUUUUUAUUAAAUAUGACAUUCACAAGGUACUCCUAUAAUUAUUCAAUUUUUGUGCAUUUGUUAUUCUCAAUUGCUUUGCUGGACUAAUGGGGUAUUGGAUCAAACAUUUUCCAUACUUAAUGUAAAGGCUGGCUGUUGCUUCAAUAUUUGAUCAAUUUGCGGCAUUGACUAGCAAUUGAUGUUCGGUGCAACUGAAAAGGCAACAAGCACUAAGUUUCACUUGUCAUAGGAAAUUACUCCAUUGAUGAUUACAGUUUUAGGGAAUACGUUAUACAUCCCAGCUAAAGUACUUUUUUAUCACUCAAUUUCCAAUGUUAUAGCCUUUUUUCUUAUCAAUCAUAACUGUCCUGAGAAAGUUGGAAGUCAUUUGAAGUUCUUCUGAAUUAAAUAUUAUAAUGAUUUAACAUUUAAGUUUCUAUGUCUAACAUGGGAAGUCUCUAAACCUUUAACUUUAUCAGGUUUUGGGUUGGCAUGCCAUAUUGGAGUUGAGGCCAAUCUCCCAACAAUUGGGAUUGCAAAGAAUGCCAUGAGAUCAACACAGGGAUCCAUAAAGCCAAUAUAUAUAUCAAUUGGUCACAGGAUAUCACUUCAGACGGCAAUUAUGAUUGUUCAAAUGACUUGCAAGUAUCGUGUGCCUGAGCCAAUUAGGCAGGCUGACAUAAGAUCUAGAGAUUAUAUUCGGAAGCUGGAAAAUGCCAAAGAAAAGUUAUUUCACUGAUAUGGUACAUCACUAUUAACUUUUAACAUUUCUUUCCUCAUUGCUUCUUGAACACCUAAAGGCAGAUCUGUACUAGCUGCAUCCUACAUGCUAUCAUGAACUACAACACUGGGAAGGCGUGUAAGUGAUCACAGCAACGUUAAUCUUCAACUUAAGAAAUGUCAAGUGAAUGAAUUCCAGGUUAUGAAUAUGCUUCCAAACCAUAUAUUUUGACGUCCAUAAAAGUCUGUCAUCUGAUACAAUUUUAAUAUCUAACUUUGGAUGAUACAACCUAUUGUUUUUCCGGUGCCUCUAGCACCCUCCUAAUUCUCAGUAUGGAUCUUGAUGUCUUGAAAACUUUUGUUCCGCACUACACUUUGUAAUGCUAUAGAAUUUACGUGGGUCCCUUUUUAUUGAUUUUCUUGUUUUAUCUGUAAAUCUCUUUCAGGUUUAAGUUUUCAACCAUUUAAACAAUGGCAUAGCUAUGUGAGAUGAUAAUAGUAAGUUUGGCUAUUUGGCUGCAAGGGACACGAAUGAACUUGAUUGAACCAUCACAAACAAUUCAUCAAGUAGUCAGAAAUAAACAGGAACCAUCCCAUCCAUUAGUGAAAUUAUAUCUAAACCGUCCAUAAAAAAAAAAAACUACAUUCAACCAAAUCCCCCCCAAAAUAGAACAAUCAGCCGGCUAACAACCUGAAUUUUCGUUUCUUGUUGCUUUGAUUGUAUGAUUAGCAACUCCUGAAAGACCUCAAGACCAGCGAUGCUUGUCUAAAAGUUCUUGAGCCAUGUAUUUGACGUUAUUAAAUUGUGUUGAUUUUAAAAGACGUGUAUUUGAGAAAGUGCCAUAGCUGGAGCAUCAUUUGCCAUAUAGAAUUUUCAGAUAUUUUAUUUUUGUCUUAUAAAGUAACGUAGCACGUUUUCUCCUCUCUCUUGUUAAAAAUAUUACUUAGUAAAUAAUAAGAUUUAUUUAGGAUUCUCAUCCCACUUUUUUUAUUUUCGCAUCCUUUACGAUAUUACUGGUUUUCUCUCUUGUCUAAUUCUUUGUACACAUUUAUUUAUGAGUAAUGAUACACAUAAUGAAUUUUACAAAAGCUUUGAUAAC